AUUGAGUUUGAUCCUGGCUCAGAUUGAACGCUGGCGGCAGGCUUAACACAUGCAAGUCGAGCGGGGGAGGUUGCUUCGGUAACUGACCUAGCGGCGGACGGGUGAGUAAUACUUAGGAAUCUGCCUAUUAAUGGGGGACAACAUCUCGAAAGGGAUGCUAAUACCGCAUACGCCCUACGGGGGAAAGCAGGGGAUCACUUGUGACCUUGCGUUAAUAGAUGAGCCUAAGUCGGAUUAGCUAGUUGGUGGGGUAAAGGCCUACCAAGGCGACGAUCUGUAGCGGGUCUGAGAGGAUGAUCCGCCACACUGGGACUGAGACACGGCCCAGACUCCUACGGGAGGCGGCAGUGGGGAAUAUUGGACAAUGGGGGGAACCCUGAUCCAGCCAUGCCGCGUGUGUGAAGAAGGCCUUAUGGUUGUAAAGCACUUUAAGCGAGGAGGAGGCUCUUUUGGUUAAUACCCAAGAUGAGUGGACGUUACUCGCAGAAUAAGCACCGGCUAACUCUGUGCCAGCAGCCGCGGUAAUAAU
rnacentral:rRNA from 1 species